UUUGUCCAUUCAGAUACACUCAUGUAAACUCGAUUUGUCCAUUCACAUACACUCAUGUAAACAGGUAUUUGUCCAUUCAGAUACACUCAUGUAAACGCGUAUUUGUCCAUUCACAUACACUCAUGUAAACUCGAUUUGGCCAUUCACAUACACUCAUGUAAACAGGUAUUUGUCCAUUCACAUACACUCGUGUAAACAGAUAUUUGUCCAUUCAGAUACACUCAUGUAAACGCGUAUUUGUCCAUUCACAUACACUCAUGUAAACAGGCAUUUGUCCAUUCACAUACACUCAUGUAAACAGGUAUUUGUCCAUUCAGAUACACUCAUGUAAACAUUUAUUUGUCCAUUCACAUACACUCAUGUAAACUCGAUUUGGCCAUUCACAUACACUUAUGUAAAUGCGUAUUUGUCCAUUCACAUACACUCAUGUAAACAGGUAUUUGGCCAUUCACAUACACUCAGGUGAACAGUUAUUUGUCCAUUCACAUACACUCAUGUAAACACAUAUGUGUCAUUCACAUACACUCAUGUAAAACUCGAUUUGGCCAUUCACAUACACUCAUGUAAAUGCAUAUUUGUCCAUUCACAUACACUCAUGUGAACUCGAUUUGGCCAUUCACAUACACUCAUGUAAACUCGAUUUGGCCUUUCACAUACACUCAUCUAAAUGCGUAUUUGUCCAUUCACAUACACUCAUGUGAACUCGAUUUGGCCAUUCACAUUCACUCAUGUAAACAGGUAUUUGGCCAUUCAAAUACACUCAUGUGAACAGUUAUUUGUCCAUUCACAUACACUCAUGUAAAGACGUGUCAUUCACAUACACUCAUGUAAACAGGUAUUUGUCCAUUCAAAUACACCCAUGUAAACACAUAUUUGUCCAUUCAAAUACAUCCAUUUAAACACGUUUGUCCAUUCACAUAAACUCAUGUAAACAUAUCUUGUCAAUUCGCAUACACUCAUUGAAAAAAAUGUGUCUUUCCAUUCACAUAAACUUAUGGAAAUAUGUCUAUCCAUUCACAUGAACUCAUGUAAACAUGUGACCGUCCAUUCACAAAAUCUCAAGUAAAUCUCAUGUGUCUGUCAUUCACAAUUGCUCAUGUAAUCACGGGUUUGUCCAUUCACACAUACUCAUGUAAACAUGUGUCAGUCCAUUCACAUGGACUCACGUUAGCAUUUUUACACUUACAUAAAUUCAGAAACAUUUGUCUUUCCUUUUAACUAAACUCAUGUAAACAUUUGUUUGUCCAUUCACAUUAACUCAUGUAAACAUGUCUUGUCAAUUCGCAUACACAUUUAAAAAAAGUUUUCUUUCCAUUCACAUAAACUUAUGGAAAUAUGUCUGUCCAUUCACAAAAACUCAUGUAAACAUGUGACUGUCCAUUCACAAAAACUCAUGUAAACAUGUGUCUGUCAUUCACAUUCACUCAUGUAAUCACGGGUUUGUCCAUUCACACAUACUCAUGUAAACAUGUGUCAGUAUUCACAUAGACUCACGUUAGCAUUUUUACAGUUACAUACGUUCAAAAACAUUUGUCUUUCCUAUCAGCUAAACUCAUGUAAACAUUUGUUUUUUUCCAUUCACAUACACUCAUGUCUAUACUUGAUAAUAAUACUUAAGAAAUGCAGUUUAUUUGCCGUAAUGAAAGUGAUUGUUAUUCGCUUUGGUGAGCGGCUCCACACUGUGUAUGGAGACACAUAAGUAAUCGCCGGGGGAGCAACUUCAAACACGAUGCCAGCCAUCGAUGUCAGGGGACGGGUGUUUGUGAUCGACUUUUAAAAGGCAACAGCGAUCACCUUCCUUUUCACAAAAUUCGGCCAAUAUUGAUCGGCGCAGCUCUAGUUUUCAGCAUUUCCUCACCAAACAUGUUGUCAAAAUACUGACGUUAAUAUUUAGGUUGUUAUUUCAAACAUGCAUAACUGAGUACGCAUAUCACCAUUUAACUUUUAAGUUUUAACUCCGAAAAGGAGUAGGAAGAAGCAGAGCUUAUUUGAUGUUUCAAUAAAUGCUGAUAUGUUCCUCACGCACCAUUUAUUAAAAUACAUUAGUAAUUAAAAAAGGAUGACGUUACUUCAGAGUCGUCAAGAGGAUUAAAACUUUAAUUGUGUGGUCGUCGAAUACAUUUGUUUUCUUGGAACUUUAAACUUGACAAAAACCGCUUCAAAACUACACAUGGAACUUUCUUCUAUUUCAAGUAUGUCCAAUGAGUUUGUGACAAAUAAAGAGAUUUGAUGGAGUAAAAGAAUCUUCUCGCUGCGUAUUGAUGAUGUAAUGUAUAAUAUGUAACGUACAAUUUUGUGUUGCGGUGCACAUGUUGGAGUUGUGUUGGCAGUCUUGGUGCCAAAUGUAAAAAAAUGGCGAACAUUGAAGUAUUUUGUUUUUCUUCUAAGAGAUGAAGUCAACAUAUUUUCUGUGAAUGUUUGUUUUUGAGCAAAAUAAAGAAUAAAAAAUACAAUUCCAUGCGUUUUCUUUACAUUGCUGCCCAAUUGCUUUCUUACAAACAUUUUCCAAAUGGAACAAAGAAAGAAAAAGAAAAACGAAGCUCCGCCAGGUGACGUUUACAACAUUGCAUUUAUACAGUCAAAUGUUCACAUAAGUGUAUGUGAAUGGACAGACGUGUUUAUGGGAGUCCAUGUGAAAAGAAAAACGUGUCUACAUGAGUUUAAGUGAAUGGACAGACAAGUGUUUACAUGAGUUUAUGGGAAUGGACCGACAAAUGUAUACAGCAGUGUAUGUGAAUGGACACAUGUUAACAUGAUUGUAUGUGAAUGUAUACACAAAUAUUUACAUGAGUGCAUGUGAAAGGACAGACAAAUGUUUACAUGAGUGGAUGUGAACCAACAAAUACACUGUAUGUGUUUACAUGUGAAUGGAAAAACGUCCUUACAUGAGUUUAAGUGAAUGGACAGACACAUAUUUACAUGCGUUUAAGUGAAUGAACAGACAAAUGUUUACACGAGUAUAUGUGAAUUGACCAACAUGUUUACAUGAAUUCAUGUGAAUGGACAAACACGUGUACAUGAGUGUAUGUGAAAGGACAGACAAAUGUUAACAUGAGUGUAAGGACAGACAAAUGUUAACAUGAGUGUAUGUGAAUAGACAGAAAAAUGUUCACGAGUGAAUGUGAGUGGACAAACCGUGUUUAAAUGAGUGUAUGUAAACAACAGACAUGUAUACCCACAUUUAGAUGAAUAGACAGUCAUAUGUUUACAUGGGUUUAUGUAAAUGAACAUACAUGUUUGCCAUUGUGGUUGUGAAUGGACAGAAUUACAUCCAUGUAUGUGAAUGGACAAACACGUUUCCAUGAGUUUAUAUGAAUAGGGAGACAAUUGUUUACAUAAGUUUAUGUGAAUGGCCAGACACAUUUGCAUGUGUGGAUGUGAAUGAACAAAUGAUUACAUCCAUGUAUGUGAGUGGACAAACCUUUUAGGAUAGACAAAUGUUUACACGCAUGUAUGGGAAUGGACAAACGUUUACACAAGUGAAUGGCAUGUAUUUUACGCGAAUGGACUGACAGAAGCUGACAUAUGUUUCCAGAUAGACAAAUUACAUAUAUGUAUGUGAAUGGAAAAACCAUUGUUUACAUGAGAUUAUGUGAAUGGACAGACAAAUGCUUAUGUGUGUAUGUAAAUGGACAAACAAAUGAUUACAUCCAUGUAUGUGAAAAGACUAACCUUUUUACACGUCUAAAUGUGAAUAGAACAAUAAAUGUUGAACAUGUGUAUGUAAAUGAUUAAACAUGUUUGCAUGAGUGAAUGGACAAACAAAUAAAACAUGAAUGUAUGUAAAUAUAGAAGUGUAUACACAUGUAAAUGUGAAUACACCGACAAAUGUUGAAAAUGUAUAUGUAUAUGAACACGUUUACAUAAUUGAAUGGACAUGUUUACGUGUGUAUGUGAAUGGACCAACAAAUGUUUUAUAUCUAUGUAUUUAAAUGUACAAACAAAUGUUUACACAUGUAAAUGUGAAUAGACCGAUAAAAGUCUAAUAUGUGUAUGUAAAUGAACAUGUUUACAUGAGUGAAUGGACAAAUGUUUAGGUGUGUAUGUGAAUGGACAAACAAUUACAUCUAUGUUAAAAGUUAAAGUACCAAUGAUUGUCACACACACACUAGGCGUGGCGAAAUUAUGUAAAUGUACAAACAUGAUAACACAUGUAAAUGUGAAUUAACUGAUUAAUGUUGAAAAUGUGUAUGUAAAUGAACACACGUUUACAUAAUUUAAUGGACAAAUGUUUACGUGUGCAUGUGAGUGGACAAACAAUUACAUCUACAUAUGUAAAUGUCCAAACGUAUAUUUACACUAGUAAAAGUCAAUAAACCGAUAAAUAUUGAAAA